AGCAGCCGCGGUAAUUCCAGCUCCAAUAGCGUAUAUUAAAGUUGCUGCAGUUAAAAAGCUCGUAGUUGAAUUUCGGGACCAUCAUGUCGGUCGUGCCUCGGUACGUACUGGUAUUGUUGGUUUCUCCCUUCUGACGAACCAUGAUGUCAUUUAUUUGGUGUCGUGGGGAAUCAGGACUGUUACUUUGAAAAAUUAGAGUGUUUAAAGCGGGCUCACGCUUGAAUACAUUAGCAUGGAAUAAUGAAAUAGGACGUUUGACUCUAUUUUGUUGGUUUCUAGGAUCGACGUAAUGAUUAAUAGGGAUAGUUGGGGGCAUUAGUAUUCAAUUGUCAGAGGUGAAAUUCUUGGAUUUAUUGAAGACUAACUACUGCGAAAGCAUUUGCCAAGGAUGUUUUCAUUAAUCAAGAACGAAAGUUAGGGGAUCGAAGACGAUCAGAUACCGUCGUAGUCUUAACCAUAAACUAUAGCCGACUAGGGAUCGGGAUGAUGUUAAUUUUUUAAUAGUACUCAUUCGGCGUCC
rnacentral:rRNA from 1 species